rnacentral:rRNA from 1 species
UACGUAGGGGGCGAGCGUUGUCCGGAUUUAUUGGGCGUAAAGAGCUCGUAGGCGGCCUGAUAAGUCGGGUGUGAAAGCCCUGGGCUCAACCCAGGAAGUGCACUCGAAACCGUCAGGCUUGAAUAUGGAAGAGGGUCGCGGAAUUCCCGGUGUAGAGGUGAAAUUCGUAGAUAUCGGGAGGAACACCAGUGGCGAAGGCGGCGACCUGGGCCAAUAUUGACGCUGAGGUGCGAAAGCGUGGGGAGCAAACAGG